rnacentral:rRNA from 1 species
UGCCCAGAUCUAAGGAAUAGCCACUGGAAACGGUGAGUAAUACCUUAUACGCCCUUCGGGGAAAGAUUUAUCGGAUUUGGAUCGGCCCGCGUUAGAUUAGAUAGUUGGUGGGGUAAUGGCCUACCAAGUCUACGAUCUAUAGCUGGUUUUAGAGGAUGAUCAGCAACACUGGGACUGAGACACGGCCCAGACUCCUACGGGAGGCAGCAGUGGGGAAUCUUGGACAAUGGGGGCAACCCUGAUCCAGCCAUGCCGCGUGAGUGAUGAAGGCCUUAGGGUCGUAAAGCUCUUUCGCCAGGGAUGAUAAUGACAGUACCUGGUAAAGAAACCCCGGCUAACUCCGUGCCAGCAGCCGCGGUAAUACGGAGGGGGUUAGCGUUGUUCGGAAUUACUGGGCGUAAAGCGCGCGUAGGGGACCAGAAAGUUGGGGGUGAAAUCCCGGGGCUCAACCCCGAACUGCCUCCAAAACUCCUGGUCUAGAGUUCGAGAGAGGUGAGUGGAAUUCCGAGUGUAGAGGUGAAAUUCGUAGAUAUUCGGAGGAACACCAGUGGCGAAGGGGCUCACUGGCUCGAUACUGACGCUGAGGUGCGAAAGUGUGGGGAGCAAACAGGAUUAGAUACCCUGGUAGUCCACACCGUAAACGAUGAAUGCCAGUCGUCGGGUAGCAUGCUACUCGGUGACACACCUAACGGAUUAAGCAUUCCGCCUGGGGAGUACGGUCGCAAGAUUAAACUCAAAGGAAUUGACGGGGGCCCGCACAAGCGUGGAGCAUGUGGUUUAAUUCGAAGCAACGCGCAGAACCUUACCAACCCUUGACAUCCUCGGACCGAUCCAGAGAUGGAUCUUUCACUUCGGUGACCGAGUGACAGGUGCUGCAUG